rnacentral:misc_RNA from 1 species
AUUUCGCCCGAUAGAAUGAAGCGCUUCAGCAUCCCUACUCUGGCCGUGGUGCCGUUUGCCCGUACCUUCUUCGGUAAGGGCUGGGACAAUGCUGCACUGGACACCAUAUACAGCAGCAUGCUGCGCAAGCCGGAAGUGAACGACCGGAUUCGCACUCAAUACGCCUCCACGAUGGACCCUCGCGACGCCGAUGUGCUCCGCCGCCUCGGUGAGGUGUCGAAGGAAAACAAGACAUUUAUUCGCGUUUUUCUCCCACCGCAUCUCGGUGAUCCCCAUCGCCUACUGAAGUGCUACAGCCUGAUGGCGUACCCUAUUCUCGAUGACAAGGGUGGUCAGCUGAAGGUAGAGAUGGAUGGCUGCAAGCUGGACGCAUUCGCCGACCCUGAUGACGACUACUCCAAGGUGGUGAUUCCACACAUGGAGCUAGUCGAGUAUCUCGCCAAGUCUCUUUUAGAGACGAUGAAGUGGGAGGCUACUCCCCGCGGCGCUGCCUCGCUGCUGGAGUCGCUGUACCGCGGCGCCGAGAUUCCGGACCACGUGUUCCAGACGCCCGCUGUCAUCGAGCGUCUGGAAAGCUACAAGGACGGUAACAAGGUCAUCAACUAAGCCACGAAAACAAGCUGUGUUUGCAGUCUGUGUCAAGGAAAGACAAAAAAAAAGAAAUGCAAGAGCUUUUUUUUUUCCGUUUGCUUCCGCACUUUCAUUAUCAAAUUAUCACGGGAAGCGGCACCCUCUGUCACUCCCCAUACAAAAUAUCAUAGGAAUGUAGGACUACUUUGUAUUGGUUGUCAUGUCGGUAACAUUUUUUUGUUUCGUUCUAUUUUCCCGCAAAUGAGGUUGAGUUCACGAAAGUGAGGCGGCCCAGAGAGAUACGAUAGUCGAAAAGGGUUCCCUUGGUGCUCAUGCUAACGUUCUUCUGAGGUUAUCCGCUCUUCCAGCCCCUUUCCACAUCCAUCCGAUUUUCAGCUUAGCCGUACCCUCAAAAAAAAGCGAAAGAAAAAC